rnacentral:rRNA from 1 species
UACGUAGGAGACGAGCGUUGUCCGGAAUUACUGGGCGUAAAGCGCGUGUAGGCGGAUGAGCAAGUCUGCUGUGAAAGCUCCUGGCUUAACCGGGAGUGGUCGGUGGAAACUGCUCGUCUGGAGGACGGUAGAGGUAGGUAGAAUUCCCGGUGUAGUGGUGAAAUGCGUAGAGAUCGGGAGGAAUACCUGUGGCGAAGGCGGCCUACUGGGCCGGACCUGACGCUGAGCGCGAAAGCCAGGGAGGCGAACGGG